CAUUAAGAAGCUAUAGGAUGCAGCAACAGCCUUUUAAGCUGUCGAAAGGUGACCUCCAACCACCCUUAAUGA
rnacentral:tRNA from 1 species